rnacentral:rRNA from 1 species
UGGGGAAUAUUGGACAAUGGGGGGAACCCUGAUCCAGCCAUGCCGCGUGUGUGAAGAAGGCCUUAUGGUUGUAAAGCACUUUAAGCGAGGAGGAGGGUACUGGUAUUAAUACUACCAGGUACUGGACGUUACUCGCAGAAUAAGCACCGGCUAACUCUGUGCCAGCAGCCGCGGUAAUACAGAGGGUGCGAGCGUUAAUCGGAUUUACUGGGCGUAAAGCGUGCGUAGGCGGCUAAUUGAGUCGGAUGGGAAAUCCCCGAGCUUAACUUGGGAAUUGCAUUCGAUACUGGUUAGCUAGAGUGUGGGAGAGGAUGGUAGAAUUCCAGGUGUAGCGGUGAAAUGCGUAGAGAUCUGUAGGAAUACCGAUGGCGAAGGCAGCCAUCUGGCCUAACACUGACGCUGAGGUACGAAAGCAUGGGGAGCAAACAGG